CUCUCGGUCUUAGUGAAUAGAAUAUUGGAUAGAAUUGAAUGUUUUUAUGAUUUUACCUCAUAUAGAAACUGUAAACUAGAACUUUGGUUCAGAUCAUUUCACUUCUAUCAACAAAAACUUGAAUAAACCUCAACUUAGACACAUGAGUUUUUAAUUAGUUGUUGUUAGUUUUCAACUAGCUUUCCACUUUGUCUUCACCCGACUUGCCAAUGUUGGUCGUUCAUUUGGCUGUGCAGGAUGUAUAAAUACGCUGUCACGUCUGGUUAGAACGGGGACAUUAAAG
rnacentral:lncRNA from 1 species